UAGGCAUGAGAGGCUGAAACUGAAACCAACAACAUAACUUCACAUUGCAUCUGAGUGAUACAGCUAAUCCGAGAACAUCACUGAGACAAGAAAAAUAAAAUAACGAGGAUGGGCACUGCAGGAAGCUAUAACUUGUGGUGCCUUGUCGGUCAGUGGCUUGACUAUAUCCACCGCUGGUUUAGUGAUUAUUGGAGGUGUGGUAGUGGCAGGAGUAGUAGCAGGAGUGAUUGUGUACAAGCACUUGUGCAAAGAAAAGUCGCACUGACAGAAGAGAUCAUUCCUCUCAAAGUACCUGCAUGGCGCUGCACAGUGGCAACGGGUGCCUGUGAUACAUCAGUUUGUUUGUGGAUUAUGUUGCCCAUAGUCAAAGCCUGUGGAGUGCACUGCUGUUGGCCAUCUGACUUUAAAUGUAGUGUAUUUUGUUGUACCAAGUGUAUCUGGAAUCAGCAAUAAAAACAAAAUGCAGACCUA